rnacentral:tRNA from 1 species
AUUUUUGUGGCUGAAAGAUUAAGCGGUAAAUUGUAAAUUUAUUAAUGGUAACACCCUUGCGAU